rnacentral:lncRNA from 1 species
ACAGUCUUCUGUAGCCAAGCACAGCUGUGCUCAAAAACAAACUUCAAAUCCCCUCAAUUUCAAUUACCUUAUUUAGGGAUUUUGCUAGAGGUAUACAACAAUUCUGGAGGCCAACUGUUAUUCUUCACACCGUAAUUUCAAAGUUCAGAUAUCCUACCUGCUAAUGAGUCAAUGCCCAAAAGUAACUUUAAAAUCUUGUUGCUAUUUUGUUUUUUGCUCCAAGAAUAAGUAAAGAGAACCACAAGAAAUACUCAGGUUAUCUUCACAGCAUAGAAUGAGUCAACCACCUCCAAUUAGGAUAAUUCUUUAAAGAAUUCAGAAUAGACUCAUGAAAUGUAACAUCAAGGCCACACUGUCUCCCAGCUGACUCUGAGAAUUCUUUGACAUUUGCAACAUCUAAAAACUCAUCUCUGAACAGCACAUCACAUCUGAUGAUCACCUGUAAGAAUACUACUAUCCAGACCCCAAAUUCUUUCUCUCCCUUUGGGAUUAUGUCCAUCUUCCUCUUUAUUUGAAUUAUCUUGCAGAUUCCUGGUCUCAAGUAUCCUGCCCUAAGCCCAGGACACUUGAGAGUCUCCGUGUUCUCAGAAGCCUAAUAGUAUCAUCAAGAUGACAAGAGAAACAGUCAUCGUUUCAUCAAGGUGUAACAGUAAAACAGGGAGCCAAAGGAGGAAGAAGUCCUGUUCCCUUUCAUCUGAUACAUAAAAAGAGAAGAUCCCAUCUAAAUUCUGGCAGAGAGAUAAUGAGGAUCAACAUGUGUGAGCUCUUGUUUUAUCCUCAAAAAGGUCAGCCUAGAAGCCUUGGUUUACCCCUCUAUGUAUAGUGUGA